rnacentral:rRNA from 1 species
UACGUAGGGGGCUAGCGUUGUCCGGAUUUAUUGGGCGUAAAGCGUCCGCAGGUGGCUGUUCAAGUCUGCUGUCAAAGCGCAGAGCUUAACUCUGUACAGGCGGUGGAAACUGAAGAGCUAGAGUAUGGUAGGGGUAGAGGGAAUUCCCGGUGUAGCGGUGAAAUGCGUAGAUAUCGGGAAGAACACCAGUGGCGAAAGCGCUCUACUGGGCCAUAACUGACACUGAGGGACGAAAGCUAGGGGAGCGAAAGGG